GACGAACGCUGGCGGCGUGCUUAACACAUGCAAGUCGAACGGACAGACAGAGAGCUUGCUCUCUUGAAGUUAGUGGCGAACGGGUGAGUAACGCGUAAUCAACCUGCCCUUCAGAGGGGGAUAACAACGGGAAACCGUUGCUAAUACCGCGUACGAUUCAUGAACGGCAUCGUUUAUGAAUGAAAGGUGGCCUCUAUGUAUAAGCUAUCGCUGAAGGAGGGGACUGCGUCUGAUUAGCUAGUUGGAGGGGUAACGGCCCACCAAGGCAAUGAUCAGGAGCCGGUCUGAGAGGAUGAACGGCCACAUUGGGACUGAGACACGGCCCAAACUCCUACGGGAGGCAGCAGUGGGGAAUCUUCCGCAAUGGACGAGAGUCUGACGGAGCAACGCCGCGUGAGUGAUGAAGGUCUUCGGGUUGUAAAGCUCUGUUAAUCGGGACGAAAGAGUUCUGCGUGAAUAAUGCAGAAAAGUGACGGUACCGGAAUAGAAAGCCACGGCUAACUACGUGCCAGCCGCCGCCGUAA
rnacentral:rRNA from 1 species